UUCCCCUUUGCUCUAAUUUUUCUUCGAGGCAGCGCCUGUAGGAGAUUUCGUUGGGGCGAUUUCUGACAAGGUAAGGUCUUCACCUCUCUCUUCCAACUCCGACGAGUCUCUCGACACUCGGCCGGCGAUGACUGGCACUGGCUGACUAUGAGAACCUGCGGCUGGCCCUGGUGAGGGGGAGUCUGAAGCGCAAGAGGGAUUGCUCCUGGCGAGGGACAUCCGGUGAUGAUGUUGAGCGGAAGGCAUCAGUUAUGGUAUCAUCGCUAAAAUCAUCGUUGAAGGAAGUGUGUAGUCUAGAAGACUUGAUGGAGAGAAUGGAGCUCUAUAUGAGUAGAAAAGUUGCAAGGAGGCCCUCAUUACGACGAGUCAAGUUUGCAAGUUUGAUGCAGGGGAAAAGGAUAUUGGAAGAAGACGGAGAAGAUUUAGUGAUGUUUGAAUAUUUUUUAUGAAUGGAUGGUUUAGAACUUCUUAUGUUGUUGGAUUGUAUGAAUAUUUUAUAAUGUUUGGAUUUGAUGUAUGAAUUGUGAUUUGAUUUAAAGUAUAGUUUUAUUUUGUUA